UUGGAUUCAUGGUGAUGGGCUAGGUUGCCGUGGGUCUAGUUUUGACACGGUUGAGCAUGAGAUUUGGCCAUCUGGUGACCCAUGUCUUGUCCUUGGCUCUUGCUGUGCUCAUCAUUGGUGUGGGUUUGGAAAAGGCUGGCCGGGUGGUGUUCUUGGAGGCUGGUCUCCUCAGCGGGUUUCUGGAUUUGCACUGAUGCCAUGAUGGUUGAGGCAAAAGGUUAUUUCUAGAUGGGUCAAUAGCAUCUUUGCUGGAUUGCUUUUGUUACGACAGGUACACAAAGUUAAGACAUGACAUGUAAUUCAUAGUAAAAAAAUAAUAAUAAUUGAGCAAUUCGAUUGUAAAA